rnacentral:rRNA from 1 species
GUCCACGCCUAACGAUGUCAACUGGUUGUUGGACGGCUUGCUGUUCAGUAACGAAGCUAACGCGUGAAGUUGACCGCCUGGGAGUACGGCCGCAAGGUUGAACUCAAGGAAUUGACGGGACCCGCACAAGCGGUGGAUGAUGUGGUUUAAUUCGAUGCAACGCGAAACCUUACCUACCCUUGACAUGUCAAGAAUCUUGCAGAGAUGUGAGAGUGCUCGAAAGAGAACUUGAACACAGGUGCUGCAUGGCCGUCGU